rnacentral:misc_RNA from 1 species
GAUGAAGAACGUAGCGAAAUGCGAUACUUGGUGUGAAUUGCAGAAUCCCGUGAACCAUCGAGUCUUUGAACGCAAGUUGCGCCCGAAGCCAUUAGGCCGAGGGCACGCCUGCCUGGGCGUCACACGUCGUUGCCCCCCCAUCUACUCCUUCGGGAUUGCGGGGGGCGGAUGAUGGCCUCCCGUGCGCCUCGCCGCGCGGUUGGCAUAAAUGCCAAGUCCUCGGCGACGCACGCCACGACAAUCGGUGGUUGCGAAACCUCGGUUGCCCGUCGUGUGCGGUCGUCGCGCAUCGAGGGCUCGAAAAAAUUGCCGGGUUCCGGCUCGGCUUUCAACGCGACCCCAGGUCAGGCGGGGUUACCUGCUGAAUUUAAGCAUAUCAAUAAGCGGAGGA